AUCUAUGGAGGUAAAGUCUGGAGUUCUGUGAUUGUUUGGGAUAGGGGGAAGGGUGGUUACCUGCACCCUCUGACCUCCUACGCCUCCCCCCGGUAGCUUUAAGUGGGACGUCGCAGCCUGCAUCCAGUGCUCCGCUCGCCCUCAGCCGUGCUUGACGUUCCCGCCAGCCAUCUGCAGUGCUCGCAGCCAAAGCCCUCCAGUAGUGGAGACCACCAUGGCGUAUUUUAAAAAACUUCCACCUAUACGAGCGCCGUCGGCAGAGCGCUGCGGGAGCGCCAGGCUCUGCAGCGCGCUGCAGCAGGUGACCGCGGUACUCAACAAGACGUCACGAGAACAGCAGGCGUCAGGCUCGCGCACCCUCAUGUGGAGCGCGCAGCUCCCGGUCAAGCUGUUGGCCCGGAUGAGGCUGGAAGCGGUGUAGAGCGGAGCCCGGGACAGGGGCGGACCCGAACACAAGGGUCAAAGGUCACAUGACCUUUUGUCCUUUUCUUCGGAGCCGCUCCUGUACUGUCCUAGAUUUAAGAUAGCAUUUAAGUGAUGUAGUAAGUCAAGGUAUUUUUGUAUUUUUGUAAUAAAAAAGCAGUAAAGAUAUUUAUUUAAUAAGUCUAGGUAUAGGAAAAGACAUGUAAUCCUCUAGGUAAUUGACGUUCCAAAUUAAUAUUAAGAUUGUUAAGGACUACGAUAGACAGUACACACAACACCAUUUAAUAUGAGACAUUAUUGGUUAAAUAUAUAUCCUUCGUAUUUUUUGUUUGUAGAGUAGAGGAAA